AAGAAGCACAAAAAAGGGAAAACAGAAGUACAUGUAUAAUGAUUUAAAUUAUAUAGGCUAUUGGCCUCAAAGUUUUCCAUUUUUUAGGCAAUGUUUUGGUCAAUCCUUGUCUAUUUUAUGUGGUAACUGUGAUCAUUUCUCCAUAGAAAUGACAGACCCGGCUGAGUUGGAAUCAACUUGACUUUGAACCAAGUUGAAUUGGCACAAAAUUGACCUGGCACCAAGUACUAGGGCUGAGUAGACUCGGAGCGAGCUAGUUUUGGACCAAGUUGACUCGGAUUUCCCACCAUAGUUCUAAGAAAGGUUCGACAGUCACCACCGAUUCUACAAGACAGCGACCUUGCAUAUGCAAAGUUUUCACAGCCAGUCAGUUCAACACUGAAAUGAGAAAGCAAGCAUGAACUUCGUUAUUGAUCCCAACUACCAGAUGGCCAGCCAGAUGACUUGUCUGACAAUUGAGUAAACACCACCAAGGCCAAGGUUAACUCAUUUCAAAUUCCCAUCAACAGCAACAGAGACAUUGAGACAACAUCAUCAGAAGUACCAGGCCUGCUUCAUGUGUCAUGGACACGAGUCGACUGCAUUCCCGGAUGAAGUUUUUCCAUAAAUCCCCAUUGCUACAUUGUCGAGGAGGCGCAUUACUCCAAGGUAACAUGACUGAUUAGUCCUGGCCGUUGAAACCUGGGAAAGAAAACCUGUUAUUCUUGUUUCCCACCCGGGUGCCUUGAACCUGUGGAUGUUGUUCACUUGUUACAAACGCCCUGUAAUGCAUAGAUUUUACAAAAGAUAAACUACAAGAUCUUCAAUUUAUCGUGGAAAAUACCGAGCUGUUUUUCUUAAUUUUUCACAAAGCGGUUGACUCAAACAUGAAACAAGACUGUGGAGUGUAAGUGCAGUGGAUGUUGUACACCGUAAUCAGGCAAUCUUGUAAAAUUAUGGCAAAAAACCAAUGGUGUACACUACCUAAUUAAUGACAUGUAACAGUACAUGUACC
rnacentral:lncRNA from 1 species